GAUGAAACUGAACCUUUUCGGAAACUUCUGAAAACUAACUGGCUAAUCUUCUGGAAUGCUAUUAUGAGGAUUGCCCUUUGAGGUUUAUAGCGAUAGGUCGCCCUAUGGUCAGUUACAUGCUUUUGUU
rnacentral:sRNA from 1 species